rnacentral:rRNA from 1 species
GACGAACGCUGGCGGCGUGCUUAACACAUGCAAGUCGAACGGAAAGGCCUUUUCGGAGGUACUCGAGUGGCGAACGGGUGAGUAACACGUGGGUGAUCUGCCCUGCACUCUGGGAUAAGCCUGGGAAACUGGGUCUAAUACCGGAUAGGACCGCACUUUAGUGUGUGUGGUGGAAAGUUUUUUCGGUGUAGGAUGAGCCCGCGGCCUAUCAGCUUGUUGGUGGGGUAAUGGCCUACCAAGGCGGCGACGGGUAGCCGGACUGAGAGGUUGGUCGGCCACAUUGGGACUGAGGUACGGCCCAGGCUCCUACGGGAGGCAGCAGUGGGGAAUAUUGCACAAUGGGCGCAAGCCUGAUGCAGCGACGCCGCGUGGGGGAUGACGGCCUUCGGGUUGUAAACUCCUUUCGCCAGGGACGAAGCGUUUUGUGACGGUACCUGGAGAAGAAGCACCGGCUAACUACGUG